GGGUGAAUGGCUUUCCAGGUCCCCGAGGGGCGGUCCCAAGGUCCCCACUCCGGGGCAGAGGGAGCAGGGUGCGAGACGUGGGGAGGAUUCUGGGGACGUCGGUCGGGGUUCUUAGAAGGGGAGAUGACUUUUCACCGUCACUGAGGCUCAUGCAGGAAGCCUGGGGGAGCAGGCGGCGGAAACGCACCCACAUCAAGGGCGGCAGCGCGGGGCGGCGGGGUACAGGGACGAGUGGGGAAGGGGCUGCAGGGUAUGAGUCCAAAGUCUGCCCUUCUGUCACUUCCAAGACCCUGCCACAGGCAUGAGGGGUCCCCAGCCGAGAUGACAGUGCUGGCGCCAGCCUGGAGCCCAAAUUCCUCCUUGUUGCUGUUGCUGCUGCUGCUGAGCCCUUGUCUGCGGGGGACACCUGACUGUUACUUCAGCCACAGUCCCAUCUCCUCCAACUUCCACAUGAGGAUUAGCGAGUUGACUGACUACCUGCUUAAAGAUUACCCAGUCACUGUGGCCAUCAAUCUUCAGGACGAGAAACACUGCAAGGCCUUAUGGAGCCUCUUCCUGGCCCAUCGCUGGAUAGAGCAACUGAAGACUGUGGCAGGGUCUAAAAUGCAAAAGCUUCUGGAGGAUGUCAAUACGGAGAUACAUUUUGUCACCUCGUGUACCUUCCAGCCCCUACCAGAAUGUCUUCGAUUCGUCCAGACCAACAUCUCCCACCUCCUGCAGGACACCUGCUCACAGCUGUUAGCUCUGAAGCCCUGUAUCGGGAAAGCCUGCCAGAAUUUCUCUCGGUGCCUGGAGGUGCAGUGCCAGCCGGACUCCUCCACCCUGCUGCCCCCAGAGAGUCCUGGAGCCCUAGGAGCCACGGAGCUUCCAAAGCCUCAGCCCAGGCAGCUGUGGCUCCUGCUGCUACUGCCUCUCACAGUGGUGCUGCUGGCUGCUGCCUGGUGCCUUCGCUGGCAAAGGACAAGAAGGAGGGUGGAGCUCCGCCCUGGGGAUGUGAGACUUGUGCGUCGCUGACUCAGCCAGGGUCUUCUCUCGGGUUGGGAACCAAAACAAGGAACAAGCUAGGCAAAUGCUGUGCUGAGCUACAUCCCCAGCCCAGAGGACACACUGUCUGGGCCUGGCGAUGGACAUGUGUAAUUCCAGAGCUUCUGGAUUGGAGAUGCUGAAACUGGAGGAUACUGACUUUAAGAAAAACAGAAAGGAAGAAGGGGAUGCAUUGUAGCCCUGUGUGGUCGCUUCUGUCACCUCCACCCCUUAAAAUAAAAACAACUGCCGGAGGAUACUGAGGCCAAGCCGGAGUCAUCUGACAGACGUUUUGCACAGCCUGGACACAGGGACAGUUGGGUGGAGGCUGGCCUCCUCUU